rnacentral:rRNA from 1 species
UACGUAGGGCGCGAGCGUUGUCCGGAUUUAUUGGGCGUAAAGAGCUCGUAGGCGGCUUGGCGCGUCGACUGUGAAAUCCCGCGGCUCAACUGCGGGUCUGCAGUCGAUACGGGCAGGCUAGAGUUCGGUAGGGGAGACUGGAAUUCCUGGUGUAGCGGUGAAAUGCGCAGAUAUCAGGAGGAACACCGAUGGCGAAGGCAGGUCUCUGGGCCGAUACUGACGCUGAGGAGCGAAAGCGUGGGGAGCGAACAGG